rnacentral:rRNA from 1 species
GAGUUUGAUCUUGGCUCAGAUUGAACGCUGGCGGCAUGCCUUACACAUGCAAGUCGAACGGCAGCACGGGAGCUUGCUCCUGGUGGCGAGUGGCGAACGGGUGAGUAAUGCAUCGGAACGUAUCCUGGAGUGGGGGAUAACGUAGCGAAAGUUACGCUAAUACCGCAUAUUCUGUGAGCAGGAAAGCGGGGGACCUUCGGGCCUCGCGCUCUUGGAGCGGCCGAUGUCGGAUUAGCUAGUUGGUGAGGUAAAGGCUCACCAAGGCGACGAUCCGUAGCAGGUCUGAGAGGGAUGAUCUGCCACACCUGGAACUGAGACACGGUCCAGACUCCUACGGAGGCAGCAGUGGGAAUUUUGGAUAAUGGGGGCAACCCUGGAUCCAGCCAUGCCGCGUGAGUGAAGAAGGCCUCGGUCGUUAAG